AUGCAGUGUGUUUGUCGCACAUGGGACUGAUCUCCAUCCCUCGCUCCCGUUCCUUAUCCCCCUGCCUGAAGAACUCCUGCAUGAUUCUCUCCGUCCAUUGUCGAUACACAGCCAGGGGUUUCGUAGGAUUGCUCAGGUUCUGGAAGAUGUCACAGUUGUCCUCGUGAAGCAGCUUGAAGCCCACAGCGAGGUGAUGGUUCUCCAACACAGACUCAUCAUUAUACAUGAGGGCUAACUCUGAGUCUGAGGGGGGAACAAAACAACAACAACAACAACAUGUGUGCACCUUGUUGGAGGCCAUCUCGCUGACGGAGCGGUGGGUCUGAAUGGUCUCCAGCUGGUCCAGACACCAGUCCAGCUCCUCCAGAGUCUCCCGAGCCAUCUGCUGGACUGACACUCUUUCACCAUCAUCCGGUGAUGCUGACUCUCUGCCAGUCAGUUCUUUGGCGAGAGAAGCGUCCCGGGGCAGUGACACCUCAGAGGAGAAGCUGGCAUCACCGGCUCCCCGCUCUUCAUCCGCGUCUGUCCGGUGCCAAGUGCGGUCUCCCAGGUGCGCCCCCUCCUCGCGCACAGCUCCGACCAGUUGUGAGUUCUCGAUCUGAACCAGACUCUCCGUGUGCGCUCCCCUGACGCACCUCACAUUAGUCUGACACGGCGCUCUGCUCGACAGGUGUAUGCUACUUGUUCUUUCUGCUCCACUGUGUGUGUGUGUGUGAUGCACACUGACACACAGCUGACAGGGGGUUUGUCAGUCUCAAGUCAUUUCAGACAGAUCUGCACUAAGACAGCAGCCCAAAGCGCUUUUUCAGCGGGGUCGUCCCCUCGGUGGCGUCACUGUGCGACACAGCACCGGAGACCGCCGGCUAUUUGUGAAGUAUGUCGGUCUGUCUCACCUACUGGGAAGCAACACAACAUUCUCAUUCACACAUUUGGUCGCGUAAGGAAAUCUAAGGCGGCACCAGCGUCAUACCACAGUUUUCUCGCAAAGCAGAGCUGUCUGCUGAGAGGUGAAAGACUGUACCUCUUGUUUCCAAAUUGAAUAUGCUGCACAUUUUGACAUCUCAGCCAUGAAGGCUCGGUUUGAAGUGGUUGACUUGGAUUCCUCACAGAGCCUAUGGGCUUAGAGAAUAAAUUACUAUUUCUACUGCUGAGCUUUAUAUAUUUUUUUUUUGUGUGUGUCAGAUGAAAAAUAAAUGCAAGGAAAGAUAUUGUUAUGAAUUCACACGGGGUGGGUUUUAGUGCACAUUUUCAUCUGACAGCAUAAUUACCUGCGCCAAGGAGGGGAUGUUUUCACAACUGUCCGUUCCUGCAUCUUUUCUUGAACAUUAUGAGUUUUGUUUUUGACAUUUUCAUAGAUUUUCCAUGCAUCCUGAUGGGAAAUUUAGACAAACUAAGGGAACUGAUAUAUAUGAGUGUGUGCAGUUCGCUGCCGCUUGAUUGAGUUUAAGGGGACUGUUGGGCCUUGCCGGGGGUAUGCGCUCUACUGACGGUCUUUCUUGCUGUUAACUGUUUUACCGUCAAAUAAGGCUUCCCUUUGACGUGCAGGUCUGUUUGAACUCAUUCUUAAACAGGAGCUAAUUUUUUAUUCAACGCCCAACAGUCCCCUUUAAAUUCCAUCACGCUGCACCCAAUCGGUGCCCUAUCUUGCAAUCCCACAGGGAUAAUAAUGGGUUCUUUCUUGCGCCUGGCCCAUCCUUCCACCAAGUUUUGUGGAAAUCCAAUCAGCAGUUCCUGUGUAAUCCUGGUGACAAACCAACCAACCAACCAACCAACCAACCAACAGACCAAUCAACAAACCAGCCAGUCAACCAGAGUGCAUACCCCCACCACGGCCCAACUGUCCCCUUCGACCCAAUCAAGCUGCACCACAUUGCCCACACGCAAAGUUAUUAGUUCCCUUAAAUAUGACAGAUUUUCAAGAUCCACCUAGGAAAUUUGUAUAAAUGUCAAAAACUCUUGCAAUGUUAAAGAAAGUGAAUAAAAACAUCCUGAAUUUGUGGGGGAUUUGAGUGGGUUCUUACUUGGCCCAUGUUCCAUUCUUCCACCAAGUUUCAUGGAAAUCUGUGCAACAGCUUUUUUGCGUAAUCCCGCUGGCAAACAACAAACACAC